rnacentral:misc_RNA from 1 species
GAUGAAGGAACGUAGCGAAAUGCGAUAAGUAAUGUGAAUUGCAGAAUUCAGUGAAUCAUCGAAUCUUUGAACGCACAUUGCGCCCGCCAGUAUUCUGGCGGGCAUGCCUGUUCGAGCGUCAUUUCAACCCUCAAGCCCAGCUUGGUGUUGGGGAUCGGCACAGGCGCCCUCGGGCGCCCGCCGUCCCCUAAAUCUAGUGGCGGUCCCGCUGCAGCCUCCUCUGCGUAGUAGUUUUCUCCUCGCAAGGGCAGCUCGGUGGCGACCUCGCCGUAAAACCCCCAACUUCUGAAAGGUUGACCUCGAAUCAGGUAGGAAUACCCGCUGAACUUAAGCAUAUCAAUAAGCGGAGGA